rnacentral:rRNA from 1 species
AGCAGCCGCGGUAAUUCCAGCUCCAAUAGCGUAUAUUAAAGUUGCUGCAGUUAAAAAGCUCGUAGUUGAAUUUCGGGACCGAUAUAUCGGUCGUGCCUCGGUACGUACUGGUAUUUUCGGUUUCUCCCUUCUGACGAACCUUGAUGUCAUUAAUUUGGUGUCUUGGGGAAUCCGGACUGUUACUUUGAAAAAAUUUAGAGUGUUUAAAGCAGGCUCACGCUUGAAUACAUUAGCAUGGAAUAAUGAAAUAGGACGUUUGAUUCUAUUUUGUUGGUUUCUAGGAUCGACGUAAUGAUUAAUAGGGAUAGUUGGGGGCAUUAGUAUUCAAUUGUCAGAGGUGAAAUUCUUGGAUUUAUUGAAGACUAACUACUGCGAAAGCAUUUGCCAAGGAUGUUUUCAUUAAUCAAGAACGAAAGUUAGGGGAUCGAAGACGAUCAGAUACCGUCGUAGUCUUAACCAUAAACUAUGCCGACUAGGGAUCGGAUGAUGUUAAUUUUUUUAAUGACUCAUUCGGCGCCUU